GACAGAGGGUGCAAACGUUGCUCGGAAUUACUGGGCGUAAAGCGCGUGUAGGUGGAUUGGUGUGUCAGAUGUGAAAGCCCUGGGCUCAACCCAGGAACUGCACCUGAAACUACCAGUCUUGAGUGGUGGAGAGGGAAGUGGAAUUCCUGGUGUAGAGGUGAAAUUCGUAGAUAUCAGGAGGAACACCAGUGGCGAAGGCGGGUUGCUGGGCUGAUACUGACGCUGAUGCGCGAAAGCCAGGGGAGCGAACGGG
rnacentral:rRNA from 1 species